GGCCGAUGUCUGAUUAGCUAGUUGGUGAGGUAAAGGCUCACCAAGGCGACGAUCAGUAGCUGGUCUGAGAGGACGACCAGCCACACUGGAACUGAGACACGGUCCAGACUCCUACGGGAGGCAGCAGUGGGGAAUUUUGGACAAUGGGCGCAAGCCUGAUCCAGCAAUGCCGCGUGAGUGAAGAAGGCCUUCGGGUUGUAAAGCUCUUUUGUCAGGGAAGAAACGGUAGAGGCUAAUAUCCUUUGCUAAUGACGGUACCUGAAGAAUAAGCACCGGCUAACUACGUGCCAGCAGCCGCGGUAAUACGUAGGGUGCAAGCGUUAAUCGGAAUUACUGGGCGUAAAGCGUGCGCAGGCGGUUUUGUAAGUCUGACGUGAAAGCCCCGGGCUCAACCUGGGAAUUGCGUUGGAGACUGCAAGGCUUGAAUCUGGCAGAGGGGGGUAGAAUUCCACGUGUAGCAGUGAAAUGCGUAGAGAUGUGGAGGAACACCGAUGGCGAAGGCAGCCCCCUGGGUCAAGAUUGACGCUCAUGCACGAAAGCGUGGGGAGCAAACAGGAUUAGAUACCCUGGUAGUCCACGCCCUAAACGAUGUCUACUAGUUGUCGGGUUUUAAU
rnacentral:rRNA from 1 species